ACUUGGCCUUCCUGCUACUGAGUUAGGCUGCGUCCAGCUGGCCCGGGGCAGUGAAGCUUCGGCCUAACAAACUCCAGAGGUGGCUGCUGGGAGCUCCGGGUCCAGCUCAGGGGUCCUUCCUCUCUGCGGACCCCAGCAAUGGAAGAACACCCAUCCUCCAUGGCUGCACACCUGGAGCACUGGAGGGGGAGCCUAGACGCGUGGAGAGCUGUGGAGGACCACCGUAGACACCCUCACCCAAGGGCACCCACCCUGGCGCUGGUGACACCUGGGAGCCAGUGACGGGGCGGGAAGGCAGCAGCAGCAGCGCCUCCUGAAGCCCCCCAGCACUUUCCGUGUUGGGGAGGAGAUCCAUAUGCAGGAACAUCUCUGGAGAUGAGAAUUUCUGAUGACACAUUUUCCCAUGUUCUCUGUAGCUCCCUCAAUUAGAUUAUACUCCCAGUUAAUACAUUAAAUGACCUUUCAU